GCUGGGCAUGAUGGCUCAUGCCUGUAAUCCUAGCACUUUGGGAGGCUGAGGCAGGUGGAUCACCUGAGGUCAGGAGUUUGGGACUGGCCUGGCCAACAUGGUGAAACCCUGUCUCUA
rnacentral:SRP_RNA from 2 species